rnacentral:lncRNA from 1 species
CUCCAGGCCCCACAAUACAGGCCCCUUUUUUCUCACGGUCAAACUCUACAAGACACGUGUCCGCUAUUCCCCUCUCCUGGGCUCUUCCAGGUGCACAGAGGGUGGGACUGCGUGCGGUAUCAUAUACUGGUUAGGACAGCAGCUCCGGUCUAAGGCCCUGUCAGCACUGACUAGCCACACACAGGGAGAGUCACCUAAACGUCCGAUGCCUUAGUUUCUGCCUGUAAAAUGAUAUAAGAGAGUUGAUAGAGCGGUUAAAAAAAUCAGACAAUACCAUACUAGCCUAAGCACAGCGCCUGGCACACAAAGACUCCGCAGUAAAAGGCGGCUCCUAUUAUUGGAACAAUUAGCAUAGAAACUCAACUGCCGCUCCUCCAGGUGGGCCUCAGAGGGGGUCGAACAGGACCAGACCCAGGAGGGCCCCACACCAACUUCCGGAGGGCAGGACUCUGCCUGCCAGUGAGCCCCAGAUCCAGGGACUAAGGCAGCAGGGGUGAAAGCAGGCAGCAGGAAGUACCUCACCUUUCAGGAUGGGGGCCGCCAUGACAGACGGCGGGAUCCGGCCAGCUGGCCUACGCGGUGCUUGCGAGCCUGGCGGCGCGCGCGGGCACUGGGCAUGCGCGGGGUGAGCGCGCCGCCGUCACCGCGCUCCGCUGAAUCCGCGUUUCCGGGAUUUCUCUGUAGUGACUUAGAAGCUACCCGGCGCCUCAUCUGGGCUCACCUGAGCUGAGGAUCAGGAAGGGGAGGGGGCACAGUCAUUCCCUCGCGGACGCGGCGGGACCCCAGCGGACGGCUUUGUGCGGACUUUCGGCACCGUUAUGCCCCCCUAGCCCGACACCACCUGGGGCUGGCGCGCCACGUUACUGUUCAGGGCCAGACGCACCGCCCUGCCUGCUCCGGGGAGCCGGACCUCCGAUCCCGGGGAUGGGGGACCCCGAGACCUCAGACCCAACGGAGGGGACUCUGAUACCUCAGACCCCACGCGGGGACCCCGAGGCUUCAGACCCCCACAGGGUGACCCCGAGAUCUCAGACCCCCGCAGGAGUACCUCCAGACCUCAAAUCCCCAGUAAGGGAAUGAAAGAGACUUCGGAUCCCUGAGGCAGCAAAUCCCUGUAGGGGCAUCCCAGGACUCAGGUCACCGCGGGGUGAACCCAGACCUCACAUUCAGGCAAUCCCCAGGACGCCGAUCGGCUGGCACUACCCACUGUCCCGGCCACCCCCCCUGGAGCUCAAAGGCUUGGCCCUCCAGCUGCUCCACCCUGCCGGCAACCAGGCUCAAACCUGCAGCCCGCGGAUCCCCUGCCCCGGAAGCAACCAGAUUCGCGGGAGGUUACCUGACUGAUCCAAGGCAGUUUCUCACUCCGUUGCCCAGGCUGGAAUGCAGUGGUGUAAUCACAGCUCACUGCAGCCUCAACCUACUGGACUCAAAGGAUAAGAUCUGCUUUUAAUUAAUUUUUGUAUACGGUAUGGGAUAGGGACCAAAGUUCAUUUUUUUGCAUGUAUACAUAUCCAAAUGUUCCAGCAUCAUUUAUUAAAAAGUUAUUUUUGUCUCUACUGCAUUUCCUUUGUGCUUACAUCAAAAUCUGUGUUGCAUAUGUAUGUGUUUCAUUUUAGGCUUCCUAUUGUGUUCCAUUGAGCUAUUUGUCUUUUUGCUGCCAGCACCAUGCUGUUUUGAUUAUUGUAGCUAUAUAAAUAAGUGAUGAAAUCAGAUAGUUUAUGUCCUACAACUUUAUUUUUCAAGGUUAUUUUGUAUCUUCUAGAUUCUUCAGAUUUCCUUUUAAAUCUUAGAGUCGACUUCUCAUUUUGCACAAAAAAAUACUGCUGGGAUUUUGAUUGAGAUUGUGUUGACUCUACAGAUGAAUUUGGGGAGAAUUGACAUUUUAACCAUAUUGAAUCUUCUGACCCAUUAACAUUUAGGUCUUUUAAAAUUUCUCUGGCCAGACGCAGUGGCUCACGCCUGCCACUUUGGGAGGCCAAGGCGGGCCGAUCACAAGGUCAGGAGAUUGAGACCAUCCUGGCUAACACAGUGAAACCCCAUCUCUACUAAAAAUACAAAAAAUUAGCCGGGCGUGGUGGCAUGCGCCUGUAGCCCCAGCUACUUGGAAGGCUGAGGCAGGAGAAUGGCAUGAACCCGGGAGACAGAGCUUGCAGUGAGCAGAGAUCUUGCCACUGCACUCCACCUGGGGCAACAGAGCGAGACUCCAUCUCAAAAAAAAAAAAUAUAACUGUUGUUAGAUUUUAACCUAAGUAUUUGUUUUUUUAUUUUGUUUUUCUUUUUUUCUUCUUUUUUUUUUUUUUUUUUUUUUGAGACAGGAUCUCACUCUGUCUCCCAGGCUGAAGUGCAAUGGUGUGAUCAUGGCUCAUCUUGAAGCCUCGACCCUCCUGGGAUCAAGCUAUCCUCCCACCUCAACCUCCUGAGUAGCUGGGACUACAAGUACACAUGACCAUGCCCAAUUCAUUUUUUAAAUUCUUUGUAGAGGCGGAGUCCCACUAUGUUGCCCAGGCUGGUCUUGAACUCCUGGGCUCAAGCAAUCCUCCCACCUCAGCUUCCCAAAGUGUAGGGAUUACAGGCAUGAGCCACUGUGCAAGGUCUUGUGUUUUUUGAUAAUAUCGUAAAUGGUGAUUUUUUCAUUUGUUUCUGAUUGUUGCUAAUAUAUGGAAAUAUAGUUGAUAUCUGCAAUUGAUCUCAUGUCCUGAAAACUUGCUAAAUCUGCUUAAUAAUUUUUUGUACAUUCAAAAUGAUGUUCUACAGGUAGUCGUAUUGUCUAUGUUGGAAGGAAAGCUUUUCCUCAUUCAAUGUCGGUCCUGUGUUUGAAGACCUGCAAAUUAACUGAUAACAACAGGUUAACAGGAGAAAAGACAAGGUUUAGAGUAACUCACUAAAUAGAAAUAAAGGUUUAUAGAUCCACUUAACAAAAUGUGUUGGG